UUACUAGUUAGUUUAGUUAUGUAAUAGUUUAUAAUUAAGUUAAUUAUUUUAUUUUGUGGACAUAAUGAAACUCAAAUUAAUUUGUAUCUAUUCGGUUGCAUUUGAAUUAUUUGGGAUACCGUUAAAUUACAAUUCUACCAAAAUUUAAUUAAUUUACUUCAAACCUAAACUUUUAAAGAUCAUUUUUGGGUCCUUUUUUACGAUUUACAGCGGCCCAUUCACCCAGUCUUUUAGCAUUAUAAUCCCAACCUACUCUUAACACCCAAAUACUCGGUCCAAUACUGUACAUCCAACAAUUCUAGCAACAAAGCGUGCAACAAUGCCAAUAACCGAUCCCCUGCGUCUUCCUUUUCUUCUCCAGCAGUCCAGCAAUGCAAAAUAACACACAAAUCAAAGCCUAGAAAUGCUGCAAACCAGCGAUUCAAAGCCGCCUAGACCCGAGUCCAGCAAAUUCGGCAGGGUCUUUCUUCCUUUUCGUCUUGUGCGAAAUCAUUUUGACAAUUACUUAGGUGUCAAAAUCUAGUGCUUCCUUGCUCUCCAAAUUGAACGGCUCCCCUCAAAGUUCUGUUGAGAGUUGGUACUAUGGAAAACUUUCAACCUUAUCUCAUCUCUUAUGAGCGUUUGAAUUUCAAAUUUUGGAAUUCACCCUAAAAGAAUCUACCCGAUUUCCCCCUCUUUCCAUCCCAUAAAUCCCCCUAUUUAAACUCCCUCUUAUCUUUGUUUAUGGUUGGAGAUAUCUGUUUAUGGGUUGGGAAAGUAUAUAUAUAGGAAAAAGGUUAGUGGGAGCUUUGAAGGAAAACAGGAAAUAAAGUCUAGAAGAGUAUAGAGGCAAUAUUUACAUACCCAACAAGACAUACAAAAUAGAUUAGAAAACUACAUAUACUUAGAGUCUAGCUUUUGGCUUUCUUCUUGUUCAUUGUAUACGAGAGUCUUCCGAAGUCUGACUUUUGGUGUGAAAGCUCGUCUCCUUCAGAUCGUUUCGUCCCAAUUGCUUCCAUAAGAAGAUCGUUUCGUCCCAAUUGCUUCCAUAAGAAGGUAAUGUUUUCUCCUUUACAAUAUUCUCGUUAUCUUUUCCCUUACAAUAUGAUGUUAAUAACUGUGUAUUGUUGUUCUAAGUUUCUUGGUGCCUUGAUGCUAUUUCUAUCUUUAAAUUGUCUCUAUGUUUAUUCUUAGUGCUAAUUUAAAUUUUUAUCGAUUUGUAUUCAUUGUUGUCGUCUUUCUUCUUUUCUGUCCGAGCAAUACUUUGUUCCUUCUUGUAUGCUUGCUUAAAUGUUGUUGAUUUCACUUGCCGCUAUCUAUAUGUUGUGCUGUCUUCAAGCCUUCUUUUGCUACAAGUUGACACUGUACUCGAAAUAGUAAAGAGGCUUAGGUGUUAGUUGUUCUUGUUAUGGUUGUGUGGAUGUGAUUUCUUUGUCCUAAUUUUGAUAGCCUGGUUCACCUGUUCUUAUUUUUUCUCUCUUUUUGUCCUACUUUUCUCAUGUGAUUUUGAUAAUCUCUAUUCUCUACCUUAAGGUUAUGUUAACUCUAGCAUCAAUGUUUAAAUCGUUCUUUUUUCUAAAAAUUCAUAUGUAGAGUUGGUUUAAACUCGGAGCUUACCAUUAGUAUCCCGUGUAUUUUAACGGGAAUUUAUCUUGAUAUGGUAUCAUGUUUGAUGCCCUUUUUAUCCUAAAAUACUAUUCGCAAAAUAGUAAUAAUGUCUUGAUUCACUUGUUGUACAUGAUGGUAUGAGUCAUGGAUCCCUUUUGAAAUAGUAUGAAGAAUUAUCUAAGUAAAACAUUAAUUGAUAUAAGUUGCUUAUGUGUGAUUAUUUUUUUUAUGAUAAUUAGCUAGUCUUGGGGUCAAUGCCACUUGAAUUUGUAAUGGUUAUCUUGUUUCCUAUGUCAUGUUUAUCUAGUAAGGAAUGAAUUUGAGUGUCUUCAUAUGCAUAGUAAUUUCAACCACAUUGUUUUCUUCUUCAUUUUAGAUAUCUUAUUAAUAUGGGUUUAGUCCUUAACUUUUGCCAUGACUAAGUUAAAUUGUUGACCCUCUUGAAAACAUUAGUUGUUAAAUGUUUGCCAAAGUUACUGUUGGGAUUGGUAGAAAUGUGAGAUUAAUUCAUAUAAUAUUUACAUGCAUUAAUUAUUUUAAUUAUGUAGCUGUGUUUUAAAAUGAGGUCAACUUUCAUCGAGAGAAUUUUUGCGUUAUGCUUAUAUGUUUCUUAGUUUUUUAUGUUGUAUAUGUAUCCGUUUUGAGUCAAACUGGGACUUAAAUCUCCUUUUCCUUCAAUUUUGAGAGAGUAGUAAAGGCUCAAAUCCACCUUUUUCGAGUAUACAUUAAUUAUACGCAAUAAAGUGAAGGAUAUCAGAGAGUUGAAGAAAUUGGACCAAAACGCCUACUUCUUUAUUUUCAAGUUGUAUGCCUAAGCCUACUCGCUUAUUAUUACCUUGUUAGAAUUUAGGAAAGGUGCAAGAUGGGCCUAAGGCACAAAGAAAUGAAUUUCAAAUUUAGUCUAGGACAGGUACAAAAAGGGGGAGGAGGCAAGAAUUUGGCCGAAGGCCCAAAACGAAUUCAGGCCCGAGUAUUGGUCAAGGGUGACAUAAAACUAGAUUUGGGCACAAAAUUCUCUCUCUUUAUUUUAUAUGUUUUGUAUUUGCGUAAAAUUAUCUAUUUUCUAGUCAAUUUUAAAGUUUUGCUAAUUUGAUCUUCCAAACUAUAACCUUUUGAGAUUUUCUUAAAGAGUAAUUGCAUAGGUCCUUAUAUUUCUACUUACACUACUUUGAAAAAAAUUUCUUUAAAUAAUUCCUUAUACUAUCUCCAUUUCCUCUUAAAAGUAAUAUUUGAUCUUAAGUUGAUAUAUUUUCUCAACUUAAUUAAGCAUGCAUAUCUUUUAAAAUAUUAGUCAAAUAUUUUAAUUGUCGGAUAACGGCUUGUUAGUGGGCAUUUCGGGUGCUUUCAAAUCCUUUCCAAAAUGCUUAUAUGAAUCCCAAACCCCUUUAAGUAUUUUUCAUUAGAUUUACUGUUUUAAUCUUUGAAAGAUAGUUUUAUUAAUUUUACUUCAAAAAUUAAGUGACUACUCUAAAACUAGUCUAAAUACUAAAUUUUUAUAUAAAAUAAAAUGACGACUCUACUGGGAUUUGACAUAUUCUAUCAAAAGGAACUUAUUUUUGUUUUUUUACUUAAAAGGAAGAUUAUGCGGAUUCACGGUCAUUCGUUAACCAAAUUGUUCUCAGGGCACCCUGACGAAAGUAGUUGGCUAUUUGAUAGUCAUUGGUUGUUAAAUGUUCCAGCCCAAGUAGUAAGAUUGGGUCACCUAUCCAUAAUAAAAAUGCCCACUCUUAGUCAAACUAGGGUAAAGCAAAGCCAAAUCCCCAAAAUUUAGCGCAUUUACCUAGGAUGACCUAACACCCAAGGUGUGUUGGACCCAUUAGAAAGACCAUCAUGAGUCCAAAUAGCUCACGACUUGAGCGGACGUUCAUACUUGUGUGUUAAAUUUUAAGGAUGUAUACGUCAUUGUCCCAUGGAGUUGUGAGUAGAUUUUCAUAGCUUAUUAUAGUAAAAAUAAAGAUUUACAAAGCUAAAGGCCUCGUCUCUCGGAGAUGUCAAUAAAUCAAAAUCAAAAGAAAUUCCAUGGAUGCAUAGCUGAUGAUAGUACCCCUGCGUGAGAUUUAAUUUUUCUAUCCCUUUUUCCCUAUUAUGUAUGCCCAUUUAGUUUAUUCGCAAAACAUGUAUAAUUUUGGGUUUUGAGACAAUGAAAUGUUUCAAAUAAUGUACUACAUCCUUUAAAUCGCUAGACCCAUUCUUGGCACAAAAGAGACACAAAUCUGUUUAUAUCGCGUAAUAGUUGUUUAUGUGUUCUAACUGUUUUUGUUAAUAUUUUUGUUUAAUUGGAGAUAUUCUAUUCCACUCUUCUUCAAAUUGUUUUUAGAACGCUAAGCACAAAUAUCAAGUCACUUUCAAAAGUGCGUCCAACCACUUAUCGAGUCUUUAGUUUUCUGUCAAAAUUUGAACUUCAUUUUUUUCCAAUUAUUACUAUCAUUUUAGAAAAAAGAUUCAUCAUCUCGAAGUUAAAAAAAAUUCAAGUUGGUCGAACUAUGUAGGACCUAAAUUCUCCCUCAUAAGAUACUAGACAGUCUUUCAAGGCUCAAUUCCAAGUUUUGAGAAAUGCUAGCUCUGGUAAAGAAAUUAGAGUAACAUCAUAAUCGAAAAUCAAAAGUGCAAUAAUGAAAGAUACAAUCUAAUUUGUCUUGACUCAAGUCGACAUCUUUGAUUCACUAAUUUCAAAGUCAAGUAGACAAAUUCUUGUCUAUUUAGCCAUUUCUCUACAUCAGUGGCCAGUUUAUCUCCUAAUAAAGCAACUCUUAUCAUGUAUUAUUUAUCACAUUUAGACACUAACAUGUUUACCUUUUGAGUUAUUUUUCAUUUGUCAGGUAUUUAGAAUUGAUCUGUGUUGAUAACUUGACCGAACACCCUUGCUUUACAAUAUCCAAAGCUCCUAAAUAUUCCUUUCCUCACAUCCGUCUACUAAAAGGAAAAACAUCAAUGGGUGACAAAAAUGGCGAGGUUAGCUUGACCAAAGUUUCUAUAGUCCAGCCCUCCACCGCUGAAUAAAAUAAAUUGAUCCGACUAUUGAUGCAACAAAUUGCUGAGUUGACGGCUGAGGUCAAGAAAGAUCGUGAUAUUCCAAAUUUGGGUAUCAUUAUCGACAUUCUAAAUAAUGGAAGACCUCCAUUCUUCUCUAUUCCUCUAAAUUCAAGUACAAAAGAUUUCAUUAACCCACCCUCCAAUCCUAUUCAGAAUCCUUCCACCAUUGACUUAACUACCCCCAAGCCCCAACACGCCACCACCUUGUAUCAAACCGUCUCUUACUCAAAAUACCAACCUUCAAACCUUCCAUCUUCCUCAAAACCAAAAUACGAACAAGCUUAGUCCUUCCCCUAUUUUCAAAACCAAAAAUCCAACCAUAAAGUAUCUCCCGCAGAUAUACCAAGCUCCUCAAAACACCCAAAAUCCUUUCAUGACCCAUCAUUGCCUCAAAAGACUACUUUCCAAAUACCAUUUUCAAAUGAACUUUAUGUCAAUUCCUUUUUAGCUUUACCACUAGUAGGAACAUAAGAGAGAUUGGAGAUCUAAGAAAGAAGCAACCAAGUUGAAUAUGAAA